CCCUUAGAUGUUCUGGGCCGCACGCGCGCUACACUGACGAUGGCAACGAGUUUUUCCUACGCCGAAAGGUGUGGGUAAUCUUUUGAAACAUCGUCGUGCUGGGGAUAGAUCAUUGCAAUUUUUGAUCUUGAACGAGGAAUUCCUAGUAAGCGCGAGUCAUCAGCUCGCGUUGAUUACGUCCCUGCCCUUUGUACACACCGCCCGUCGCUACUACCGAUUGAAUGGUUUAGUGAGGACUCCUGAUUGGCGCCGCCGCCCCGGCAACGGAGCAGCGGACUGCCGAAAAGUUGUUCAAACUUGAUCAUUUAGAGGAAGUAAAAGUCGUAACA
rnacentral:rRNA from 1 species